UACGGGGGGGAGCAAGCGUUGUUCGGAUUUACUGGGCGUAAAGGGCGCGUAGGCGGCCACCGCAAGUCGGUUGUGAAAUCUCUGGGCUUAACCCAGAAAGGUCAACCGAUACUGCGGGGCUAGAGUGCAGAAGGGGCAACUGGAAUUCUCGGUGUAGCGGUGAAAUGCGUAGAUAUCGAGAGGAACACCUGCGGCGAAGGCGGGUUGCUGGGCUGUUCUUGACGCUGAGGCGCGAAAGCGUGGGGAGCGAACAGG
rnacentral:rRNA from 1 species